rnacentral:rRNA from 1 species
ACGGAUGGGCAUGCGGCGCAUUAGCUAGUCGGCGGGGUAACGGCCCACCGAGGCGACGAUGCGUAGGAGUUCUGAGAGGAAGGUCCCCCACACUGGUACUGAGACACGGACCAGACUCCUACGGGAGGCAGCAGUGAGGAAUAUUGGUCAAUGGGCGAGAGCCUGAACCAGCCAAGUCGCGUGAGGGAAGACGGUCCUAUGGAUUGUAAACCUCUUUUGUCGGGGAGCAAAAAGGCCUCGUGAGGCCACAAGUGAGAGUACCCGAAGAAAAAGCAUCGGCUAACUCCGUGCCAGCAGCCGCGGUAAUACGGAGGAUGCGAGCGUUAUCUGGAUUUAUUGGGUUUAAAGGGUGCGUAGGCGGACUGGAAAGUCAGCGGUAAAAUCGAGAGGCUCAACCUCUUUCCGCCGUUGAAACUGUCGGUCUUGAGUGGGCGAGAAGUAUGCGGAAUGCGUGGUGUAGCGGUGAAAUGCAUAGAUAUCACGCAGAACUCCGAUUGCGAAGGCAGCAUACCGGCGCCCGACUGACGCUGAGGCACGAAAGCGUGGGUAUCGAACAGGAUUAGAUACCCUGGUAGUCCACGCAGUAAACGAUGAAUACUAA